UGCCGUGGGGAAGCAAUUCGUCGAACAGCUGCUGCGCCAGAGGUUGGCAGGCCCUGAGCCUCGUCCACGUGCACGCGAGCUGUUCGGCGACUUGCUUCACCCAUGUC
rnacentral:pre_miRNA from 1 species